rnacentral:rRNA from 1 species
AGGUGAGAAUCCCGUCUUUGGCAUGGAUCCCAGGGCUUCURUGAUGCGCUCUCGACGAGUCGAGUUGUUUGGGAAUGCAGCUCAAAAUGGGUGGUGAACUCCAUCUAAAGCUAAAUAUUGGCGAGAGACCGAUAGCGAACAAGUACCGUGAGGGAAAGAUGAAAAGCACUUUGGAAAGAGAGUGAAACAGUACGUGAAAUUGUUGAAAGGGAAACGCUUGAAGUCAGUCGCGUUGACCGAGACUCAACCUUGCUUUGGCUUGGUGUAUUUCUCGGCCGACGGGWCARCAUCAAUUUUGACCCUCAGAUAAUGGCAAGGGAAAGGUGGCACCUUUUAGGUGUGUUAUAGUCCCAUGUCGCAUGUGAGGGUUGGGAUUGAGGAACUCAGCAUGCACCUCUGGGUGUCGGGGCUUUGGCCCACGUUACAUGCUUAGGAUGCUGGCAUAAUGGCUUUAAACGACCCGUCUUGAAACACGGACCAAGGAGUCUAACAUACCCGCGAGUGUUCG